CUGUACCGUAUACCACAGCCUGGUGUUUUGCGCGCGGUUGUCAAGAGCGUUCAAGAACAGCCAUAGUUUUGCUUUAGUAGUUUGCUUGUCAGUCCUAAGUGUUAAUAAACUAGCUAUCCUCUUGCAGUAGUAAUGUAAUAAGUAUUACUUUGUAUAUUCUGUACUUUAUAGAAAGUUAGUAACGUCUUGGAGGGAACGUAAACAGUAUGGAUCAUACAGUGUCUGUUUCCAAGGGCUGCUUUGUUCAUAAACGACAGAAACGCAACAAAAAUACACCAAAGAAACAGUCCUCUCUGACUACAAAUAGGCAACCAUGGUAUAAUGCAUACAAGAGCUUAUGGUCAUCUCUUGAGGUGAAGCUGGAGUCAUUACAGGAGGAAGUAUUUUCACAAAUUUUAGAGAACUUAGUUCUUUAUAUUCAAAACUGCCACAUAAACAAAUCACGGAACAAAAUUAGAAAUGAGAUACCAUCUGCAACAUUACUGACAGGUGUGAACUUACCAGAUCAUGAAGCACUGUUUGCAACAUUAUCAAGUCAGUUACAUGAUAAGGUGACACCGUACGUAGCCACUCUGCAGGCCCGUCAUUGUGCUACAGUUCGCUCUGCCAUCGAGCACUUGGUUCUCCAAUUCAUGAAUUACAACAAAGUUCAGAGAGAUGAUGAUUUAGAAGAGACAGUGAAGGACAAUAUAAAGAAGAAUCAGUAUAACUUUCUAACCUUAUCAGCUUGGUACAAGGAACAGUUGAGAUCUAAAAGUCCAAAGAAGAAGUCUAAAAAUAAGCCAGCCUUGGAAAUGGAUAAAGAUGCUGCCCUUGUUGUUAUAAUUCCUAAUGUGGAAGGUUUCUCACCACACAUCUUACAAAACUUCAUCCUUAUAGCAAGUGGUUACAUCAACUCACUUCCUUUGGUGUUUGUAUUUGGUGUUGCCACCGCCGUCUGUGCUCUGCAUCGCAGCCUGCCAUACCAUGUAUCUUCCAAACUUUGCAAUGAGGUGUUUCAUUCCCAGCCAUCAACCGCUUACCUUAAUCAAGUUCUAGAGAAGGUUGUUCUAACUAGCACAUGCCCGUUCCAGUUGGAUGAUAAGACUUUCAAGUUACUGACUGAUAUUUUCUUAUUCUAUGACUUAUCUGUGUAUGGAUUCAUUCAGCACUACAAGUAUUGUAUGAUGGAACAUUUCUUCAACUGUGAUCAUAAUGUUCUGUGCUGCUCAAUUUCUGAACUGUCACAGAACAUUAAAUCUCUGAGUAAGGAACAGCUGGAGGAGUUGCGUCAGUUGCCCUCUUUCCGUCGGUAUGUGGACACAUUGCCGAAGAAAGAGAAAGCUCCUCUUCUUCUUGAUGACCAUCAUUUUAAGGAAGUGCUUGAGGAGCUAAUGACAGAACUACAUGGAUACCUGCUGAACUUACACACAUAUCUGAGGUGCCUCCACACUCUGACAGCAUCACUCCCAAAGUCACCGUUAGGAAAGCAACUGAGGGAAGUAUACAACAUGGCCAUCUGUUGUGACAUAUCUGAAUCACCUCAGUUCAGAGAGUGCUUCCAGCUGCUUGGUUUCCAGUCGCGAGAAGAAUUACUGGAUAAGCUUGGGAAAGUCCUCGGCUUUCUUGAAAGUGCCUCAAGCAACAUGUCAGUGAAAGUCUCUCACCUGAAGGAUGUACAAGAGGAGCUGUCAAAGUAUUACACUUCGAUUGCAAAUAUGGGGAUAGAAGCUACUGAACAACCAUUGAAAAGUCCAAGUAAAAUUGAUAUUGGGGAAAAUAUUAACAGAUAUCAACUGAAAGAGAAACUACUGGAGUUGUCACGUAAGCAGAAACCACUGUCAGCCUAUGAAGAGACAAGGAAGAACCUUUUGGACUACUUGGCAGGAUCAGUUUUCCCACAGUUCCUUGUUCCACCAACAAAUGUACCAUUCAAUGAAGUUUUCUUCUUCAACAAUGUGGCAAGAGUCAAGAGACACAUUGUUGGUACACCAAGAGCUGCAAUACACAUGGCUCUGAACAAUCCGCACUACUAUUUGGAGUGCAAGUGCUGCAAGCUAGACAAGACAUCAUCCAUCAUUCCUUCAAUGCCUGAUAUCUGCAUCGUAUACAAGCUGCAUCUGGAGUGUGGGCGCCUCAUCAACAUGUAUGACUGGUUGCAAGCUUUUCUUGCCAUCGUGAACCCCAGUGAACUGGGUGAGGAGCAGAGAGAUGUCGCUCCAGAGAUACAAGCCCGAUUCACACGUGCUGUAGCAGAGUUACAGUUUCUUGGUUUUAUUAAACCCUCCAAAAGGAAGACUGACCAUGUAACAAGACUCACCUGGGGAGCUUCAUGAUCCCUGCUGCUAGGAUGAGAUGCCUUAUCCCCUUCUGUGUUAAUCACAUGGUGCAUGUUAAUCAUUGUGCCUUGUACAUGCAAAUGAGGCAAGUGCAGUCACUGCUGUAUUAACUGAAGAAUGCUGGUGGAAGAAGUCUUGAAAAGCUUUUAUGCUUUCACCUACAUCUCUAACAGGAUUUAGACCCUAUGUAUUUUGGGAAGUAUGGGGUUGUGGAAAACUCAGAGGGAGAUGCUAAACUCUCUGAGAACAAGCAGUUGUUAAAUGUGGACUGAAGCUCUGAUAGAUGCGCCACUGACAACCUUUUAAAAAAGAGAAUUUGAGACAGACUGCUGGAGGCUUAACUGCAUAUAAAUGAAGCCCCAAAUGACAAAUCUGUGUGUAUUGAGGGUUGACUUCAGUAUAUACAAAAACUUAAUCAAAAGAGCAUUUUCAUUUGGCCUUUUGUUGAACUUUCUCUGUAUAAUGUAUAUUUUAAGGCAUCUGGGAAUUCAUGUUAUUAUGCUUUUGUUUUGAGUGAGGACAUUUUUCAUUGACAGACACAGCAGUAACAUACAAAAAGGUUUGCGUCUUUGUUUCUUUGUUUGUUUGUUUGUUUGUUUGUUUUUUUUUUGCUAUAAAUAAUAUUAGAAAUUUCUAUUUGAUUCCAAGUAUGGACUAAACACACAAGGUAGUGUUCUCAGUUCAUCAGAAUGUUCUCCUCAUUCAAACAUGACAUUACAAAGAAACAGUCAGAAAAGUAUAUAAAUCAUUCUGAGAAAUCUUACUGAAUUUCGUUUUUAAAUUAUAAAAAAAUACUUAUUUCAACCAACCCGUAGAAACAACUGAAGGAAAUUAACAAAUGAUACUAGUAUGCACUGGUGUAGUUGGUUGAUGCACUAUGCUACAAGCUGGAAGGUCACAGUUUCAAUUCUUGAU